GUAAACAAAACCACUUGCAAAUUU
rnacentral:sRNA from 1 species